CCCCAGGGUAGAAAUACUCACGGAGUCUCUCACAAGUUCUAUGACUAAGAUAGGCAAGAUUACUCAAGUAAACUUGAGAGCCUUGAGGUUUUUGAAGCAAUGCAGAAACCAGUAUUUCAAAUAAUUCUUUCUAAUUACUGCCACCCACAGUGAAGACAUCAAGAGAAGCCUUUACUUUGAUAAUUCUAGGAGGUGAAAUCUCACCCCAGGAACCACUUUUAUCUUCCACCAAACACCUGCAGGCUGUAAAAGCAAUGCAGGGAGAGAGCAGAGUGAAUGUGUGUUUGGGAGCAGGGGUGGUGGAGGGAAGGUGGAUAGGCCUCUAGAAGGGCUGUGAGUAUGGAAAUUUCAUUCCUCAAUUAUCUGAAGCAGGAGAGUCUGCAGAAUUAGGAUAUAAAGGAGUGCAGCUGGGAGGAGAGGGAGUGAAUGGUGAGCAUGGAGGGUGGGGCUGUGGGUGAGGGACUGAAGUACUCCCAGGUCCUUUUAGGUGAGGGAUACUUUCAGGACUGGGUUGGGUCAGCCAGUCAGAAAGUAGCCUUCCUAGGAGCUUUACAUUGGACAGCUGCUGCCCCACCGAUACAUCUUGGCACACAAGAGUUAGGCCACUGUAUCUGUCCUGUCCCACACACUUGCUCCAGAUGAUCUUUACCACAUGACACAUGAACAUACACUGUGUACACCUGGAGCCCACCUGACAUGGAGCUUUGGACUGCUCCACAAGUCUCCAGCAUGCCUUUGGAAG
rnacentral:lncRNA from 1 species